rnacentral:sRNA from 1 species
UCAGCUGUCCGGGCCGCUUUCGCCUCCGCCUGUGGAUGCUGCGCCUCUCCGAACGGAACAUGAAGGUGCUUCUUGCCGCCGCCCUCAUCGCGGGGUCCGUCUUCUUCCUGCUGCUGCCGGGACCUUCUGCGGCCGAUGAGAAGAAGAAGGGGCCCAAAGUCACCGUCAAGGUGUAUUUUGACCUACGAAUUGGAGAUGAAGAUGUAGGCCGGGUGAUCUUUGGUCUCUUCGGAAAGACUGUUCCAAAAACCGUGGAUAAUUUUGUGGCCUUAGCUACAGGAGAGAAAGGAUUUGGCUACAAAAACAGCAAAUUCCAUCGUGUAAUCAAGGACUUCAUGAUCCAGGGCGGAGACUUCACCAGGGGAGAUGGCACAGGAGGUAACCACAGGUCCUCUGGGCCAAGGAGUAUGUCAAUGUAACCUCCACAGUGGGAGGGCCAGGUUCUGCUGGGGAGACAAGGCCUCUUUCUUCCCCAGCUCUAGAGGCAGGCCUACUUAUUACUUACCUACUUUGAGACCAGCGGCACCCUUCUUUGAAGAGGGAACCCAGUACAAAGGAGAGAGAAUAAUGGGGUGGACCUGAUGGUAGAUCUAAGAGAAUCUCUCCCAGGUGGCCAUCCUGCUGAUCCAGGCCUAUAGCCUGGUGACCUUUCCUGAUACCUCUUCAGAAUGGGGACUGGGGAGAGAGGCGUGUGGAAGCAAAGUGAAGACAUGUGGAUAUGCGAUUCUAGGUCAGGUGCCCAAAGCCUGUCCAGGCUACCCUGGAAGCCCCAGCAAGAGUGGGAGGGCCAGGCGUGGUGACUCUGUGAUCCCAGCACUUUGGAAGGCCAAGGUGGCUGGAUCACUUGAGGCCAGGAGUUCAAGACCAGCCUGGCCAACAUGUUGAAACCCCAUCUCUACUAAAAAUACAAAAGAUUAGCCGGGUGUGGUGGGACACGCCUAUAAUCCCAGUUACUCGGGAGGCUGAGGCAGGAAAAUUGCUUGAACCCGGGAGGUGGAGGUUGCAGUGAGCUGAAAUCAUGCCACUGCACUCCAGCCUGGGUGACAGAGCGAGACUCCAUCUCAAAAAAAAAAAAAAAGAGUGGGAGCAGUUACUUUCCUUGACAGUCUUUCACCAGAGACCACUCUGUGAGGGCCGACCCUCACCUUGGCAUUAACUUGCACACGUAGGACAGAAAGACUCCCGGACGCCUGCAUGAGUCUCACUG